ACUCAACUAUUGCAACAACCUACUGCUCCGCAGAUCCUCAGCUGCUUCCGACACAAGUUACAGACCAUCCAGAACUCUGCAGCGUGUGGCAUCUCCUGGAGCAGGCUCUAUGUGCCAUCAGUUGCCAGUACAGUUGUGAAGACUGACCAAGAUAAUUUACAGCUGAAAUGUAAUGCAGAUGCUAAUCCUCCAUCUACAGGAAUCAGAUGGACAAGAAUGAAUGAUACAAACCCAAUAUUCAACAAAGUACAAGACGAUAGCAUGCUGAAGGUGCCUAUUUUGACUUCUGACAAUAACAGGCUCUACAUGUGUGAAACCAGCAACAUAAUCGGCUCUGCUAAAAGUUCAAUAUAUCUGCAUCAAUGUGAACCCCAACAACGGCUACACAUUAUAGUUUACAUUAUAAUUGUGCUCCUUGUUACUGUAAUAGCUGCUCUCAGCUUUCUUCUUAUCCGUAAGAAAAUUUGCCUCAACAAGCAAUGAAGUACGGUUGGAUAUGUACUUAUGAAUGCAACAAUUUUACACAUCGCAUCUCUUAACAAAGUUGGAAUUUUUCUGGGGAAAGCCUAAUCAAUGCAAAUGUAAUAACUCUUCUGGCAAGAAACUAACAAAAGCAUUAUAUGUUUUGAAAAUAUUAAUAAUAUUUUAUUAUUUAUUUUAUUUUGUUAAUACAAUAUAAAGCAGGAAAAGAAACAAGGACAUGAAAGGGACAGAGUAUAAAAUUAGGAAUUUUGAUUUUGAUGGAGAAUGAUGAAUGUAUAUUCCUUUUUCUCCAACCCAAUAAAAAAACAGUCUAUUUAAUACGCAUGUCUCUGACUCCCAUCGUAAUGCACUUGCCUCUAACUAUUAAAUGCUGUUGCUGCUCACCUUAGUUAACUGAGCCAGAGGGUAAACAUGUUGUGCUUGGCUCCUAUCUCUACUGGCUGUGUUAUGGUUAAAAUUUUAUUUGAGUGUUCUUUUGCAUUGUUCGCUUAUUACAGACAGUAUUUAUUGGGAACCUCUUCUGGGCAAAUCCAAAGUAUCAUUCCCUCUCCUGUCUUGUUAUUUACAUCAGGUUUUGAAAUUUCAAUUAAAAUAAUUAUUAUUAUUCAAUUAAAAUACGCCUGAUUCAAAUAAAAUGAAAUCAGUGUUUAAUCCAACGAGUCUACUUAUUUAUAUUCUUCACACACCUUAAUCUAAGAACAUUUGAAAGUCUUUACAAAUUGUAACAUUCUUCUCUCUAAAUUCUGCCAAUCACUAUUACUGUGUAGCAGCACAGCAUAAUCAGACUAGUGUUGUUGGGUAUCUCUGCCACUAGAGGGUCACAUCGUGGAACGUGAAAUUACCAAAACCUCUUACUUCUUUCGCUUUGCUUUUAAAUGAACUAAUGGGCCUCCAUAU